AGGCACUGCCUGCCCAGUGACAUAUGUUCAACGGCCGCGGUACCCUGACCGUGCAAAGGUAGCAUAAUCACUUGUUCUCUAAAUAGGGACUUGUAUGAACGGCCACACGAGGGUUUAACUGUCUCUUACUUUCAAUCAGUGAAAUUGACCUAUCCGUGAAGAGGCGGAUAUGCCAAAAUAAGACGAGAAGACCCUAUGGAGCUUCAAUUCAAUAGUACAAACUAAUAACUUAAAAACCUACCAGGCAAUAACCUACCGUCAGUGUACUAUAAAUUUUGGUUGGGGUGACCUCGGAGUAUAACACAACCUCCGAAAAGCAUAUACUAAGACCUCACUAGUCUAAGUAANNACAUACAACUAUUGACCCAAUANNNANCUUGAUCAACGGACUAAGUUACCCUAGGGAUAACAGCGCAAUCCUAUUUUAGAGUCCAUAUCGACAAUAGGGUUUACGACCUCGAUGUUGGAUCAAGACAUCCUAAUGGUGCAGAAGCUAUUAAGGGUUCGUUUGUUCAACGAUUAAAGUCUUAC
rnacentral:rRNA from 1 species